rnacentral:pre_miRNA from 1 species
AUUAAAUGCAAAGGUGCAAGCGAGCUGAAAUGACGAAAAUAUUAUUUUCGUCAUUCUUGUCCAGCUCGCUUGCACCUUUGCAUUUAUUUG